UACGUAGGGGGCAAGCGUUGUCCGGAAUCAUUGGGCGUAAAGCGCGUGUAGGCGGCUCGGUAAGUCUGCUCUGAAAGCCCGGGGCCCAACCCUGGGAGGCGGGUGGAUACUGCUGAGCUCGAGUCCGGAAGAGGCGAGUGGAAUUCCUGGUGUAGCGGUGAAAUGCGCAGAUAUCAGGAGGAACACCAAUGGCGAAGGCAGCUCGCUGGGACGGUACUGACGCUGAGACGCGAAAGCGUGGGGAGCAAACAGG
rnacentral:rRNA from 1 species